AUUGAACGCUGGCGGCAGGCUUAACACAUGCAAGUCGAGCGGAGAUGAGGUGCUUGCACCUUAUCUUAGCGGCGGACGGGUGAGUAAUGCUUAGGAAUCUGCCUAUUAGUGGGGGACAACAUUCCGAAAGGAAUGCUAAUACCGCAUACGUCCUACGGGAGAAAGCAGGGGAUCUUCGGACCUUGCGCUAAUAGAUGAGCCUAAGUCGGAUUAGCUAGCUGGUGGGGUAAAGGCCUACCAAGGCGACGAUCUGUAGCGGGUCUGAGAGGAUGAUCCGCCACACUGGGACUGAGACACGGCCCAGACUCCUACGGGAGGCAGCAGUGGGGAAUAUUGGACAAUGGGGGGAACCCUGAUCCAGCCAUGCCGCGUGUGUGAAGUAGGCCUUAUGGUUGUAAAGCACUUUAAGCGAGGAGGAGGCUACUGAGACUAAUACUCUUGGAUAGUGGACGUUACUCGCAGAAUAAGCACCGGCUAACUCUGUGCCAGCCGCCGCGGUAAAAC
rnacentral:rRNA from 1 species